CAAGUGAGUCGGGCAAUUGCGUACCAGUUACGAGGAAAGUCCGGGCUUCACAGAGCAGGAUAACGGCUAACGGCCGCCGAGGGUGACCUUAGGGAAAGUGCAACAGAGAUAUACCGCCCGUUUACGGGUAAGGGUGGAAAGGCGAGGUAAGAGCUCACCGGCGUGCAGGAGACUGCACGGCCCUGCAAACCCUAUCCGAAGCAACACCGACAGGAGUGGUCUGCUCGGCCAUAACUCCGAAAGGUGGCGUGAGCUGUGAGGCAACUCACAGCCAAGACAGAUGAUUGCCUUAAAUGACAAAACCCGGCUUACAGACUCACUUGUUUU
rnacentral:RNase_P_RNA from 1 species